AACGCACAUUGCGCCCCUUGGUAUUCCGAGGGGCAUGCCUGUCCGAGCGUCAUUACAAAAUCCAGCCUCUGGCUUGGUGUUGGGCGUCGUCCGUGUAGGGCACGCCCGAAAGCCUGCAGAGGCUAUGAUCGGCCCUGAUCCCAGUGAAAUCUCAGGCUCAUGGGUCCGGUCAUCAUCUCUGGCAACCGGCAGGAUCUUGGGGAGCUUCCGGUUCCUCCAUGAUCCGCCAAACCUCUAAGUUUGACCUCGGAUCAGGUAGGGAUACCCCCUGAACUUAA
rnacentral:misc_RNA from 1 species